rnacentral:rRNA from 1 species
CCUACGGGAGGCAGCAGUGAGGAAUAUUGGUCAAUGGGCGCAAGCCUGAACCAGCCAAGUCGCGUGAGGGAUGACGGCCCUACGGAUUGUAAACCUCUUUUAUAAGGGAAUAAAUUGCGGCACGUGUAGCGUUUUGUAUGUACCUUAUGAAUAAGGAUCGGCUAACUCCGUGCCAGCAGCCGCGGUUAGACGGAGGGUCGGAGCGUUAUCCGGAUUUAUUGGGGUUAAAGGGAGCGUAGGUGGGCUGUGAAGUGAGAGGGGAAAGGUGGGGGCUCAACCCUAGAAUUGCCGUUGAAACUGGCGGGCUUGAGUGGGUGAGAGGCAGGCGGAAUGCGUGGUGUAGCGGUGAAAUGCUUAGAUAUCACGCAGAACCCCGAUUGCGAAGGCAGCAUGC